CAUAGCAAAGUUCUGAAAAUAAAAUUACUGCUGGUCAGCCUUCAAUGUGGAGAGAAGAUCAGAAUAUAACAACACAGCUAUCAGGGCAUGAGGAGGAGGCAGGAGGAAACAGCUUGGCUCUCAA